GGGUUGUGAGGUUAAGCGACUAAGCGUACACGGUGGAUGCCCUGGCAGUCAGAGGCGAUGAAGGACGUGCUAAUCUGCGAUAAGCGUCGGUAAGGUGAUAUGAACCGUUAUAACCGGCGAUUUCCGAAUGGGGAAACCCAGUGUGUUUCGACACACUAUCAUUAACUGAAUCCAUAGGUUAAUGAGGCGAACCGGGGGAACUGAAACAUCUAAGUACCCCGAGGAAAAGAAAUCAACCGAGAUUCCCCCAGUAGCGGCGAGCGAACGGGGAGGAGCCCAGAGCCUGAAUCAGUGUGUGUGUUAGUGGAAGCGUCUGGAAAGGCGCGCGAUACAGGGUGACAGCCCCGUACACAAAAAUGCACAUGCUGUGAGCUCGAUGAGUAGGGCGGGACACGUGGUAUCCUGUCUGAAUAUGGGGGGACCAUCCUCCAAGGCUAAAUACUCCUGACUGACCGAUAGUGAACCAGUACCGUGAGGGAAAGGCGAAAAGAACCCCGGCGAGGGGAGUGAAAAAGAACCUGAAACCGUGUACGUACAAGCAGUGGGAGCACGCUUAGGCGUGUGACUGCGUACCUUUUGUAUAAUGGGUCAGCGACUUAUAUUCUGUAGCAAGGUUAACCGAAUAGGGGAGCCGAAGGGAAACCGAGUCUUAACUGGGCGUUAAGUUGCAGGGUAUAGACCCGAAACCCGGUGAUCUAGCCAUGGGCAGGUUGAAGGUUGGGUAACACUAACUGGAGGACCGAACCGACUAAUGUUGAAAAAUUAGCGGAUGACUUGUGGCUGGGGGUGAAAGGCCAAUCAAACCGGGAGAUAGCUGGUUCUCCCCGAAAGCUAUUUAGGUAGCGCCUCGUGAAUUCAUCUCCGGGGGUAGAGCACUGUUUCGGCAAGGGGGUCAUCCCGACUUACCAACCCGAUGCAAACUGCGAAUACCGGAGAAUGUUAUCACGGGAGACACACGGCGGGUGCUAACGUCCGUCGUGAAGAGGGAAACAACCCAGACCGCCAGCUAAGGUCCCAAAGUCAUGGUUAAGUGGGAAACGAUGUGGGAAGGCCCAGACAGCCAGGAUGUUGGCUUAGAAGCAGCCAUCAUUUAAAGAAAGCGUAAUAGCUCACUGGUCGAGUCGGCCUGCGCGGAAGAUGUAACGGGGCUAAACCAUGCACCGAAGCUGCGGCAGCGACGCUUAUGCGUUGUUGGGUAGGGGAGCGUUCUGUAAGCCUGUGAAGGUGUACUGUGAGGUAUGCUGGAGGUAUCAGAAGUGCGAAUGCUGACAUAAGUAACGAUAAAGCGGGUGAAAAGCCCGCUCGCCGGAAGACCAAGGGUUCCUGUCCAACGUUAAUCGGGGCAGGGUGAGUCGACCCCUAAGGCGAGGCCGAAAGGCGUAGUCGAUGGGAAACAGGUUAAUAUUCCUGUACUUGGUGUUACUGCGAAGGGGGGACGGAGAAGGCUAUGUUGGCCGGGCGACGGUUGUCCCGGUUUAAGCGUGUAGGCUGGUUUUCCAGGCAAAUCCGGAAAAUCAAGGCUGAGGCGUGAUGACGAGGCACUACGGUGCUGAAGCAACAAAUGCCCUGCUUCCAGGAAAAGCCUCUAAGCAUCAGGUAACAUCAAAUCGUACCCCAAACCGACACAGGUGGUCAGGUAGAGAAUACCAAGGCGCUUGAGAGAACUCGGGUGAAGGAACUAGGCAAAAUGGUGCCGUAACUUCGGGAGAAGGCACGCUGAUAUGUAGGUGAAGCGACUUGCUCGUGGAGCUGAAAUCAGUCGAAGAUACCAGCUGGCUGCAACUGUUUAUUAAAAACACAGCACUGUGCAAACACGAAAGUGGACGUAUACGGUGUGACGCCUGCCCGGUGCCGGAAGGUUAAUUGAUGGGGUCAGCGCAAGCGAAGCUCUUGAUCGAAGCCCCGGUAAACGGCGGCCGUAACUAUAACGGUCCUAAGGUAGCGAAAUUCCUUGUCGGGUAAGUUCCGACCUGCACGAAUGGCGUAAUGAUGGCCAGGCUGUCUCCACCCGAGACUCAGUGAAAUUGAACUCGCUGUGAAGAUGCAGUGUACCCGCGGCAAGACGGAAAGACCCCGUGAACCUUUACUAUAGCUUGACACUGAACAUUGAGCCUUGAUGUGUAGGAUAGGUGGGAGGCUUUGAAGUGUGGACGCCAGUCUGCAUGGAGCCGACCUUGAAAUACCACCCUUUAAUGUUUGAUGUUCUAACGUGGACCCGUAAUCCGGGUUGCGGACAGUGUCUGGUGGGUAGUUUGACUGGGGCGGUCUCCUCCUAAAGAGUAACGGAGGAGCACGAAGGUUGGCUAAUCCUGGUCGGACAUCAGGAGGUUAGUGCAAUGGCAUAAGCCAGCUUGACUGCGAGCGUGACGGCGCGAGCAGGUGCGAAAGCAGGUCAUAGUGAUCCGGUGGUUCUGAAUGGAAGGGCCAUCGCUCAACGGAUAAAAGGUACUCCGGGGAUAACAGGCUGAUACCGCCCAAGAGUUCAUAUCGACGGCGGUGUUUGGCACCUCGAUGUCGGCUCAUCACAUCCUGGGGCUGAAGUAGGUCCCAAGGGUAUGGCUGUUCGCCAUUUAAAGUGGUACGCGAGCUGGGUUUAGAACGUCGUGAGACAGUUCGGUCCCUAUCUGCCGUGGGCGCUGGAGAACUGAGGGGGGCUGCUCCUAGUACGAGAGGACCGGAGUGGACGCAUCACUGGUGUUCGGGUUGUCAUGCCAAUGGCACUGCCCGGUAGCUAAAUGCGGAAGAGAUAAGUGCUGAAAGCAUCUAAGCACGAAACUUGCCCCGAGAUGAGUUCUCCCUGACUCCUUGAGAGUCCUGAAGGAACGUUGAAGACGACGACGUUGAUAGGCCGGGUGUGUAAGCGCAGCGAUGCGUUGAGCUAACCGGUACUAAUGAACCGUGAGGCUUAACCUUACAACGCCGAAGCUGUU
rnacentral:rRNA from 1 species